rnacentral:tRNA from 2 species
GCUCCCUUAGCUUAAUUGGAUAAAGCAAUUACCUUCUAAGUAAUAGAGUGUAGGUUCGAAUCCUAUAGGGUGCA